AAGGUAGGAGGAUUUUCCAGAUUAUCUUCAGUUCCCAGGGCCCAAAGUAGGAGGAUUUUGCUAGUACAGUUGCUUAUGGGCCGAUGAUUUUUUCACUUUGAAGAAUGAAAGAAUGAAAAAUUCAAGAUAUUUAUUACUCGAACAGAAAUGAAAAAAAAAAAAAAAGAAUUAACGCAUAUCAAAUGUGAUCAGAACAUGUAGCAGCCUGAUGUGUGGCUGUAAGCUCAGAACAAGGCCAUGGGCUUACCUCAAGAGCAGCACCACUUACAUCAGAGCACUUCCAUGGAGUAGAUCUUGGUCCUGACACACCAUGAAGGUUGAUGUUAGAGAGACAUAUUCCGGUGAAAGGAGAGUUCUUCAGGCCUUG
rnacentral:misc_RNA from 1 species